CCCCGGCGCGCCGCGCGCCGUCCCCAGUCGCGCGGGAAAGCUUCCCAGAGGCGCCCAGAGGGAGGCGCGCGCGGGGCCCGGCGGGCCGCAUCCGGGGUCCCGCUGCCUCCCGCCCAGCGCACGGCCUCCCGCCUCGGCCGCUCGCCGCGCUCGCCACCCCUCGCGGUGACAGCCGGCGCCGCGGGACGCGUGCGCACCGCCCGCCCCCAGGCUGCAGCCGUCACCUAUCGCGGCUGGGCCCGGCUCGCCCGGCGAGCGCGCGCGCGCGCGCGCGGGUCCGUUGUCACUCCGGUCAGGUUCGGGUCCCGGCCCCCUGCCUCUAUGCCUGACGCCCCUCGGCGAGUCUUGCCCGGUUCCGAAUCCAACUAUUCAGAGGAGAAAAGGGAAGAUCGGAGAGGCCUGCCGGCUGCCAGCCCGCCAAUCAGGACGCGCGCGGGCGUUUUGAACACUGAGCAACAUGGAGCUGCGCUCCUCCGGUGGGAACCGCUCUGAAAGAAGACCCUCAGCGUGCACGGGGACCCGGGGCCUGCGCCCCGCUGCGGAUCGGCGACAAGACUGAGAGGCUCAAGCCUUGGACACUGCAUGGCUUCAAGUGUGCAGGCUAGACUCAGAACCAAUCGUUGGACUUGGGUGGUGCCAUCUUUCUGUUGUCCCAAAGAGCAGUCAUUUGGCAGCGAGUUAUCUUUUGCAGGUAUGUUAGAAUUGUUUCCUCCUGAAUUCCAAAACAGCCCUGCAGCCCCUUGCCUGCAGACACCCAGUACUCCCAAUGAACUCCAUCAUCAACACAGGAGUGUCACCAUCAAACUGAGGUUCUAGAAACAUGGAAGACGUUGUUCUUGAUUACUCUCCAGAGCCUGAAACUAAGAUGCUAUUGCUGAAAACACCAUGUACUCCAGUCGUAGAACAUGGGGGGGUAAUUACAUACUCAGCAAAACAACGAACUUGGACCCGAGGCUGUCAGUGAAAUCUGGUUUCUCUCAGCUUUUCAUGACCCACAGGCAGGAAGUUGUAGCAUUGCGGUCCACAUGAAGGCUUCACCCUUCUGAGAACGUGCUGGGCGUCUGCCUGAAAUGACUUCUCUCGGGAUGUCUUUGCAGUGCCAAGAGGCCAACUCUGACUUGCUGGUCCCCAGAUAGCAUGGUUCUUCAAGCAUUGCUGAGCUGAUCCCAGGCCUGUGACUGCAGCUGAAUGUCCAUGCUUCCAGUAUGAUUUAACAGCUAUCACAUGCUCAUCUGUCAAAGCUAGAAGUUAUUGUCACUAUACCUUAUUCAUGUGACAAACCGUAGCCCCUGAAAUGUGAUCCCAUAUGACUUCUUCAACCUUUAGUUCUUUUUUCAGGUAUUUUGUCACAGUGAUGAAAAAAGGAAUGAAUUUUACUCAACUUGAUCCAUACGGAACACUUAUAGUUCUUGAAUAAUGAAAGUUGAUUAUUGUAAACUUAAUUCAGCAGUGAUUUUUAUUGCAAGUACUGUAUCAGAUGUGGUUUGUUGUCAUUGUUGUUGUUUCUUGCUUGUUUUUCAGCAGAUUAAACACUUCCUGACACCUGGUAUAUAGCUAUUGAUCUAGCAAAUACUUGCCUGCUCCACUUAUGUCUGUAAAUCCUCCAGGAAGCAAUCUGUUUGCACCUGGAAAGGCCAGUAAUAUACCUUUAUUGUCCCACCUCAGGGCUAUUUUAGCUCUCCAGUCCUUUGCCAUAAGUUAGAUCUGAGGGGUAUCAAUCACAGGUCUCUUUCAUAAGGUUUCACACUGGUUUGCUACAUUGAUGAUAUUAUGCUGUUAAACCAAUCAUUUUGGAUUUGUUGAUGAAAUGUUUAUGUCACAGACCAUAGGAAGUAAGCCCAAUGACAGCAAUAAUAAAAAAAAACAGUGGCCUUCUAUAUCAGUAUAAUUCCUAGGCGUCCAGUAAUACAAGACAUGUAGCCGUAUCUUUAAAAGUUUUUUAAUUAAAAAUUUAUGUCUA